rnacentral:rRNA from 1 species
UACAGAGGUCUCAAGCGUUUGUUCAGAUUCGAUUGGGCGUAAAGGGUGCGUAGGCGGCGUGGUAAGUCGGAUGUGAAAUCUCGGAGCUUAACUCCGAAACUGCAUUCGAUACUGCCGUGCUUGAGGACUGGAGAGGAGACUGGGAAUUCCUGGUGUAGCGGUGGAAUGCGCAGAUAUCAGGAGGAACAGCCGGUGGCGAAGGCGGGACCUGGGCCAGUACUGACGCUGAGGAGCGAAAGCGUGGGGAGCAAACAGG